GCCCGAGUGGUGGAACUGGUAGACGCGCGGGACUCAAAAUCCCGUGGGGGCAACCCCGUGAGGGUUCGACUCCCUCCUCGGGCA
rnacentral:tRNA from 1 species